rnacentral:rRNA from 1 species
GCUAAAAAUCUAGCUCAACUUCUCCAAAUGAUUUUUCCCCACCUAACCAAACUAACUAAAACAUUCUUAUAUUCUAGUAUAGGAGAUAGAAAAACUUUUUUGAAGCAAUAGAAACAGUACCGCAAGGGAUUGAUGAAAUAAUAAUGAAAAACUCUUAAGCAUAAAAAAAUAGAGAUAAACCCUCGUACCUUUUGCAUCAUGGUUUAACUAGUCUAAUCAGGCAAAAAGCCUUACAGUCUGAUCCCCCGAAACUAAGCGAGCUACUUCGAAGCAGCCUCCUGGGCACACCCCUCUCUGUUGCAAAAGAGUGGGAAGACUUCCAAGUAGUGGCGAUAUACCUACCGAGCUUAGUGAUAGCUGGUUACUCGAGAAAUGGGUUUUAGCCCACCCUAAAGCUUGUACAAAUUAUACCUAAACUACCCCUAAACUUUAGAGAAAGUCAAAUAAGGUACAGCCUAUUUGACACAGGAAACAACCUUAACUGAUGGGUAAAAAAAUCUUUACAUCACCUUAGUAGGCUUAAGAGCAGCCACCUAAAAAAGCGUCACAGCUUCGGUAAAUAUCUCUAUAAUACCACUUAUUUUUAUAACCCCUCUACCCCUAUCGAGUAAUUCUAUAUUAUAUAGAAAAUUUUAUGUUAAAACUAGUAACAAGAAGCACAACCUUCUCUUAAGUAUAAGUAUAAAUCAGGCAGGACAAACCACUGAUAAUUAACGCCUCUGAAUACAUAUUAGCAACCCAACAAGAAAAACCUUACUUUACAUGCGUUAAUCUAACACAAGAAUACUACAAGAAAGAUUUUAAGAAAAAGAAGGAACUCGGCAAAUAUUAACUCCGCCUGUUUACCAAAAACAUCGCCUUUUGACCAACAAUAAAAGGUCCAGCCUGCCCAGUGACACAUGUUCAACGGCCGCGGUAUCCUGACCGUGCGAAGGUAGCGUAAUCACUUGUUCUUUAAAUGGGGACUAGUAUGAAUGGCAUCACGAGAGUUAUACUGUCUCCUUUUUCUAAUCAGUGAAACUAAUCUCCCCGUGAAGAAGCGGGGUUAAAACUAUAAGACGAGAAGACCCUAUGGAGCUUUAGAUUUUUUCUCAAGCGACUACUUAUUCCUUAAACUUCCUAGUCUAAUUACACUUAUUUGGGCGCUAUGAGAAUAAAAUCUUAGGUUGGGGUGACCGCGGAGAACAAAACAACCUCCACAUUGAAGCAGGCAUUCAAACCUUAAGCUAAGGGCCACAACCCUAUGCACUAAAAAAUUAACAUUCAUUGACCCAAUUUUUGAUCAACGAACCAAGUUACCCUAGGGAUAACAGCGCAAUCCUCUUCAAGAGCCCAUAUCGCCAAGAGGGUUUACGACCUCGAUGUUGGAUCAGGGUAUCCCAGUGGUGCAGCCGCUACUAAUGGUUCGUUUGUUCAACGAUUAAAACCCU